rnacentral:piRNA from 1 species
UGAUGAUACCUGAAGGACAGGAGGC